rnacentral:rRNA from 1 species
GACGGGGGGAGCAAGCGUUGUUCGGAUUUACUGGGCGUAAAGGGCGUCUAGGCUGAUCGGUAAGUUAGGUGUGAAAUCCCUCGGCUCAACCGGGGAACUGCACUUGAUACUGCAGAUCUUGAGUUCGGAAGAGGAAAGCGGAAUUCCUGGUGUAGCGGUGAAAUGCGUAGAUAUCAGGAAGAACACCAGUGGCGAAGGCGGCUUUCUGGUCCGAUUACUGACGCUGAAGCGCGAAAGUGUGGGGAGCAAACAGGAUUAGAUACCCCCGUA